GUGCCAGCCGCCGCGGUAAUACGGAGGAGGCAAGCGUUAUCCGGAAUUAUUGGGCGUAAAGCGUCCGCAGGGGGCGCAUCAAGUCUGCUGUUAAAGGCUGGAGCUUAACUCCGGUAGAGCAGUGGAAACUGGUGCGCUAGAGGGCGACAGGGGUAGAGGGAAUUCCCAGUGUAGCGGUGAAAUGCGUAGAGAUUGGGAAGAACACCGGUGGCGAAAGCGCUCUACUGGGUCGCACCUGACCCUCAGGGACGAAAGCUAAGGUAGCGAAAGGGAUUAGAAACCCUAGUAGUCC
rnacentral:rRNA from 1 species